rnacentral:rRNA from 1 species
CAGCAGCCGCGGUAAUACGUAGGGUGCGAGCGUUAAUCGGAAUUACUGGGCGUAAAGCGUGCGCAGGCGGUUAUAUAAGACAGAUGUGAAAUCCCCGGGCUCAACCUGGGACCUGCAUUUGUGACUGUAUAGCUAGAGUACGGUAGAGGGGGAUGGAAUUCCGCGUGUAGCAGUGAAAUGCGUAGAUGUGCGGAGGAACACCGAUGGCGAAGGCAAUCCCCUGGACCUGUACUGACGCUCAUGCACGAAAGCGUGGGGAGCAAACAGGAUUAGAUACCCCCGUAGUCCCUGUCUCUUAUAA